AGGCUAGCUAGGCCGGAUGGCGAACCAUUAUACUUGUUUGGUGACAGAUGAGGCCCUGCUAAUUGCCAAGCGGCUUGAGACGCUCUAUCUAUGCGUUGCCCCGAGGGGUUAUUGAGGCCACUCGACAUAGUGGCAGGAGUUUUAGGCCUCUCGGUGACUGUAAGACAGAAAACAGGGGAAGGGAGUGACAGGUGAGGCCCUCUCUAUG